rnacentral:rRNA from 1 species
AACGCGAAGAACCUUACCUACACUUGACAUCCCUUGCAUUACUCUUAAUCGAGGAAAUCCCUUCGGGGACAAGGUGACAGGUGGUGCAUGGUUGUCGUCAGCUCGUGUCGUGAGAUGUUGGGUUAAGUCCCGCAACGAGCGCAACCCUUGUCGUUAGUUACUACCAUUAAGUUGAGGACUCUAGCGAGACUGCCUGGGUUAACCAGGAGGAAGGUGGGGAUGACGUCAAAUCAUCAUGCCCCUUAUGUGUAGGGCUACACACGUGCUACAAUGGCUGGUACAGAGAGAUGCAAUACCGCGAGGUGGAGCCAAACUUAAAAACCAGUCUCAGUUCGGAUUGUAGGCUGAAACUCGCCUACAUGAAGCUGGAGUUACUAGUAAUCGCGAAUCAGA